rnacentral:tRNA from 1 species
GGCUAUAGCUCAGCUGGGAGAGCGCCUGCUUUGCACGCAGGAGGUCUGCGGUUCGAUCCCGCAUCCG